AUUGAACGCUAGCGGGAUGCCUUACACAUACAAGUCGAACGGCAGCGCGGACUUCGGUCUGGCGGCGAGUGGCGAACGGGUGAGUAAUGUAUCGGAACGUGCCCAGUAGCGGGGGAUAACUACUCGAAAGAGUAGCUAAUACCGCAUACGCCCUACGGGGGAAAGGGGGGGAUCGCAAGACCUCUCACUAUUGGAGCGGCCGAUAUCGGCUUAGCUAGUUGGUGAGGUAAAGGCUCACCAAGGCAACGCUCCGUAGCUGGUUUGAGAGGACGACCAGCCACACGGGGACUGAGAACCGGCCCAGACUCCUACGGGAGGCAGCAGUGGGGAAUUUUAGACAAUGGGGUCAAGCCUGACCCAGCCAUUCCGCGUGUGCGAUGAAGGACUUCGGGUUGUAAAGCACUUUUGGCAGGAAAGAAAUCGCACGGAUUAAUACUCUGUGUGGAUGACGGUACCUGCAGAAUAAGCACCGGCUAACUACGUGCCAGCCGCCGCGGUAA
rnacentral:rRNA from 1 species